rnacentral:rRNA from 1 species
AUGGUGGCCGCCUCCCCUUCCCCUUCGGCGGCGCCGCCCGCCACCGACUCCGCCUCACCUUCGGCGGCCUCACCUUCGGCGUCGCCGCCCGCCACUGCCGCCACCGCCUCCGGCCGCCCCCACCCGUCCUACACCAAGAUGAUUACGCAAGCGCUGACGGAGCUUGGGGGCACCAGCGGCCGCGCAGCCAUCGCCGGAUUCAUCUUGGGGCGCUUCACCGGCCUCCCCGCCGCCCACGACCACGACGCGCUCCUCUCCGCCCACCUCCGCCGCCUCGCCGCCGAGGGCGUCGUCCGCGGCUACGGAUCGAAAUCGAGAGCCUGCUACGUCUUCCCCGCCUCCGACACGCGCGGACGCGGCCGACCACGCGACGCCGCAACUCGCCUCCCCAAGAAUCAUCUAAAUUUGGAUCAUGACGACGACUCCCAGACGAUUUGGCCGGCCCCAUUCCCCUUGGCGACUUGUGUAAAUCCAGAUUGGGAUCCCAAUUCUGCUUCCAACCAGAAUUCGGUUCCCAAUCUGGAUCUGGAUGGAUUCCAGAGUAACACCAGUGAUGAUGAUGUGGCCUACAAUGGUGAGCAUGAGCAUGAUGAUGAAUACACUCCUCGGCCUGUGCCGGCAGCAAAGCGCGGGCGCGGCCGUCCUCCUAAGAUCAAGAGAGGGCGUGGGAGGCCGAGAAAGGAGGAGCAACAAUCACAGCAAGCAACAAAGCAUCCUCCAACUCCAACCGCGUCGUCAAGGUGGGGGUUCAAGCUAGGGUGUGGGAGACCAAUGCUAGCUCCUACAACUGGACACGAUGCUGAAGCUGGAGAUGCAAUGCCUGCUGAAACUGGAAGCGCUGCUUCUGCGGGAAUCAAGAGACCACGUGGGAGGCCAAGAAAGGAGAAGCCAGCAGCAGCAAUGUCUGCUCAAGCUGGGGAUGCUGCGUCGGCCGGGAUCAAGAGAGGGCGUGGGAGGCCAAGCAAGGAGAAGCCUGAUUCUGCAUCGGCCGGGAUCAAGAGAGGGCGUGGGAGGCCAAGAAAGGAGAAGCCUGAUUCUGCAUCGGCCGGGAUCAAGAGAGGGCGUGGGAGGCCAAGAAAGUAUAAUCCAGCAGCAGCAGUAUCAGCUGAAGAUGGAGAUGCUGUGUCAGCAGGAAUGGCUUGA